GGCCUGUUAGCUCAGCUGGUUAGAGUGUGGUGCUAAUUACUCCAAGGUCGUGGGUUCGAUCCCCACAUGGGCCA
rnacentral:tRNA from 1 species